rnacentral:rRNA from 1 species
UACGUAGGGGGCAAGCGUUGUCCGGAAUCAUUGGGCGUAAAGAGCGCGUCGGCGGCCCGAUAAGUCCGCUGUGAAAGUCAAGGGCUUAACCCUUGAAUGCCGGUGGAAACUGUCGGGCUAGAGUCCGGAAGAGGAGAAUGGAAUUCCCGGUGUAGCGGUGAAAUGCGCAGAUAUCGGGAAGAACACCCGUGGCGAAGGCGGUUCUCUGGGACGGUACUGACGCUGAGACGCGAAAGCGUGGGGAGCGAACAGG